rnacentral:rRNA from 1 species
CAGCCGCCGCGGUAAUACGUAGGUGGCAAGCGUUGUCCGGAAUUAUUGGGCGUAAAGGGCUCGCAGGCGGUUUCUUAAGUCUGAUGUGAAAGCCCCCGGCUCAACAGGGGAGGGUCAUUGGAAACUGGAAAACUUGAGUGCAGAAGAGGAGAGUGGAAUUCUACGUGUAGCGGUGAAAUGCGUAGAGAUGUGGAGGAACACCAGUGGCGAAGGCGACUCUCUGGUCUGUAACUGACGCUGAGGAGCGAAAGCGUGGGGAGCGAACAGGAUUAGAUACCCGUGUAGUCCCUGUCUCUUAUAC